rnacentral:tRNA from 1 species
GCGAGUUGUGGCGAAUGGCGGUCAGCCUAACGAUAUGAUUUGUAGCGCAUUUUCGCAUUUCUGGAUAUUGUGGCGCAAGAGUUUCUCAAUCUUGCCAAGGUUGGGGUCGAGGGUUCGAAUCCCUUCGCCCGCUCCA